rnacentral:tRNA from 1 species
GGGUAGGUGGCGUAAUUGGUAGCCGCGCUAGCCUUAGGAGCUAGUCCCGAAAGGGGUGCGAGUUCGAGUCUCGCCCUACCCA